UACAUGUGGGGCAAGCGUUGUUCGGAAUUACUGGGCAUAAAGGGUGUGUAGGCGGUUUGUUUAGUCACUGGUGAAAGUUUUCGGCCCAACCGGAAAAUUGCCUGUGAUACUGGCGAACUUGAGUGCGUGAGGGGUGGGGGGAACGAGCAGUGUAGCGGUGAAAUGCGUAGAUAUUGCUCGGAAGGCCGGAGCCGAAGGGGCCCCACUGGUACGUAACUGACGCUGAGGCACGAAAGCGUGGGGAGCAAACAGG
rnacentral:rRNA from 1 species